rnacentral:snRNA from 1 species
AUACUUACCUGGCAGGGGAGACACCAUGAUCACGAAGGUGGUUUUCCCAGGGCAAGGCUUAUCCAUUGCACUCCGGAUGCGCUGACCCCUGCGAUUUCCCCAAAUGUGGGAAACUCGAGUGCGUAAUUUGUGGUAGUGGGGACUGCGUUCGCACUUUCCCCUG